UACGUAGGGGGCAAGCGUUAUCCGGAAUCAUUGGGCGUAAAGCGCGUGUAGGCGGUUCAGUAAGUCCGCUCUGAAAGCCCAGGGCUCAACCCUGGGAUGCCGGUGGAUACUGUCGAGCUCGAGUCCGGAAGAGGCGAGUGGAAUUCCUGGUGUAGCGGUGAAAUGCGCAGAUAUCAGGAGGAACACCAAUGGCGAAGGCAGCUCGCUGGGACGUGACUGACGCUGAGACGCGAAAGCGUGGGGAGCAAACAGG
rnacentral:rRNA from 1 species